rnacentral:rRNA from 1 species
GGUUAAGCGAAUAAGCGUACACGGUGGAUGCCUAGGCAAUCAGAGGCGAUGAAGGACGUGCUAAUCUGCGAAAAGCGUCGGUAAGGUGAUAUGAACCGUUAUACCCGACGAUAUCCGAAUGGGGAAACCCAGUAUCCAAUGGAUACUAUCAUUAACUGAAUCCAUAGGUUAAUGAGGCGAACCGGGAGAACUGAAACAUCUCAGUACCCCGAGGAAAAGAAAUCAACCGAGAUUCCCCUAGUAGCGGCGAGCGAACGGGGAGCAGCCCAGAGUCUUAAUCAAUAGCAGUGUCAGGAGAACGGUCUGGAAAGUCCGGCAGUAAAGGGUGAUAGCCCCGUAUCUGAAGAUGCUGUUAUUGUGAACUCGACGAGUAGGGCGGGACACGUGUUAUCCUGUCUGAAUAUGGGGGGACCAUCCUCCAAGGCUAAAUACUCCUGAUUGACCGAUAGUGAACCAGUACCGUGAGGGAAAGGCGAAAAGAACCCCGGCGAGGGGAGUGAAAAAGAACCUGAAACCGUGUACGUACAAGCAGUAGGAGCCUCUUUAUGGGGUGACUGCGUACCUUUUGUAUAAUGGGUCAGCGACUUAUAUUCUGUAGCGAGGUUAACCGUAUAGGGGAGCCGUAGGGAAACCGAGUCUUAACUGGGCGAAUGAGUUGCAGGGUAUAGACCCGAAACCCGGUGAUCUAUCCAUGGGCAGGUUGAAGGUUGGGUAACACUAACUGGAGGACCGAACCGACUAAUGUUGAAAAAUUAGCGGAUGACUUGUGGAUGGGGGUGAAAGGCCAAUCAAACCGGGAGAUAGCUGGUUCUCCCCGAAAGCUAUUUAGGUAGCGCCUCGUGAACUCAUCUUCGGGGGUAGAGCACUGUUUCGACUAGGGGGUCAUCCCGACUUACCAACUCGAUGCAAACUGCGAAUACCGAAGAAUGUUAUCACGGGAGACACACGGCGGGUGCUAACGUCCGUCGUGAAGAGGGAAACAACCCAGACCGCCAGCUAAGGUCCCAAAGUCAUGGUUAAGUGGGAAACGAAGUGGGAAGGCUCAGACAGCCAGGAUGUUGGCUUAGAAGCAGCCAUCAUUUAAAGAAAGCGUAAUAGCUCACUGGUCGAGUCGGCCCGCGCGGAAGAUGUAACGGGGCUAAACCAUGCACCGAAGCUGCGGCAGCGACACAAAGUGUUGUUGGGUAGGGGAGCGUUCUGUAAGCCUGCGAAGGUGUACUGUGAGGUAUGCUGGAGGUAUCAGAAGUGCGAAUGCUGACAUAAGUAACGAUAAUGCGGGUGAAAAACCCGCACGCCGGAAGACCAAGGGUUCCUGUCCAACGUUAAUCGGGGCAGGGUGAGUCGACCCCUAAGGCGAGGCUGAAAAGCGUAGUCGAUGGGAAACGGGUUAAUAUUCCCGUACUGGUGGUAACUGCGAUGGGGGAACGGAGAAGGCUAGGUUGUCCGGGCGACGGUCGUCCCGGUUCAAGCAGGUAGGCAGAGUGAUUAGGCAAAUCCGGUCACUUAAUGCUGAGAUGUGAUGACGAACCACCAAGGUGGUGAAGCAAUUGAUGCCCCGCUUCCAGGAAAAGCCUCUAAGCUUCAGGUUACCAACAAUCGUACCCCAAACCGACACAGGUGGUCAGGUAGAGAAUACUCAGGCGCUUGAGAGAACUCGGGUGAAGGAACUAGGCAAAAUGGUGCCGUAACUUCGGGAGAAGGCACGCUGGCGGUAGGUAAAGUCCCUCGCGGACGGCGCCCAAGCCAGUCGAAGAUACCAGCUGGCUGCAACUGUUUAUUAAAAACACAGCACUGUGCAAACACGAAAGUGGACGUAUACGGUGUGACGCCUGCCCGGUGCUGGAAGGUUAAUUGAUGGGGUUAGCCGUAAGGCGAAGCUCCUGAUCGAAGCCCCAGUAAACGGCGGCCGUAACUAUAACGGUCCUAAGGUAGCGAAAUUCCUUGUCGGGUAAGUUCCGACCUGCACGAAUGGCGUAAUGAUGGCCAGGCUGUCUCCACCCGAGACUCAGUGAAAUUGAACUCGCUGUGAAGAUGCAGUGUACCCGCGGCAAGACGGAAAGACCCCGUGAACCUUUACUAUAGCUUGACACUGAACAUUGAGCCUUGAUGUGUAGGAUAGGUGGGAGGCUUUGAAGUGUGGACGCCAGUCUGCAUGGAGCCAACCUUGAAAUACCACCCUUUAACGUUUGAUGUUCUAACCUAGGCCCAUAAACUGGGUCGGGGACCGUGUCUGGUGGGUAGUUUGACUGGGGCGGUCUCCUCCUAAAGAGUAACGGAGGAGCACGAAGGUUGGCUAAGCAUGGUCGGACAUCAUGCGGUUAGUGCAAAGGCAUAAGCCAGCUUGACUGCGAGAGUGACGGCUCGAGCAGGUACGAAAGUAGGUCUUAGUGAUCCGGUGGUUCUGAAUGGAAGGGCCAUCGCUCAACGGAUAAAAGGUACUCCGGGGAUAACAGGCUGAUACCGCCCAAGAGUUCAUAUCGACGGCGGUGUUUGGCACCUCGAUGUCGGCUCAUCACAUCCUGGGGCUGAAGUAGGUCCCAAGGGUAUGGCUGUUCGCCAUUUAAAGUGGUACGCGAGCUGGGUUUAGAACGUCGUGAGACAGUUCGGUCCCUAUCUGCCGUGGGCGUUGGAAGAUUGAGAGGGGUUGCUCCUAGUACGAGAGGACCGGAGUGAACGCACCACUGGUGUUCGGGUUGUCAUGCCAAUGGCAUUGCCCGGUAGCUAAGUGCGGAAGAGAUAACCGCUGAAAGCAUCUAAGCGGGAAACUUGCCUCGAGAUGAGUCUUCCCUGUCACUUUAAGUGACCUAAAGGAACGUUUAAGACUAAGACGUUGAUAGGCUGGGUGUGUAAGCGUAGCGAUACGUUGAGCUAACCAGUACUAAUGAACCGUGAGGCUUAACCUG